UUAAAGGAAUUUCAACAUCAUCAUGCUUCCUAGGAGCCUCCAUCUUUAAACAUUUUCCAAAAGGAAACUGAGCUUACUUUUCAAAUGACAUGUGCAAUCUCCACAUAGCAAGAUCAAGGGACUCAAAAAAUUGAGACAUAUCAACCAAUAAGAAAAAUUCUCAGACCUCAUCUGUCUAUAUAAUGAGAAUGAUCAUUAGAGUUUCAAAUCAAGUAGAAUUUAUCAUAAUUUUAGAUAAAAUUUACCUGUUUUUAUUUCAGGUGUUAUCGAUGUAUUGGGUCGGUGUAUACCAUUUAGGAGAGGGCUUUUGCCACUGAUAAUGUAGGAUACAUUGUCAACUGAUUUCAAUAAUAUCUGGGCAGAAAAUAAGAAAAGCAUACGCUUCAUCUAUCAGUGUAAAAUUCCAUAAUUAAUGGUUCUCUUGCUAUUGCUGGUGAAGCAAAAUUCAGGAUGAAUGAUGAGCUGUGAAUGGUUCCACUCAUCAUUGAGUGAAGAUGGGUUAUCAUUUUCAGUAGGCAUCGAGUUUUGUCCCUUUUACUUCAAUCACUUGUUUGUGGUAGUUGGAUUAAUGGAUUUGCAUUUGUUGCAGGUUCUCUUGAUUUGUUUCUUGAAUGAUAAAACAAAAAAUUGUAUAAGUAAAAGUUUACCAUUGUCACUAGCAUUCCACCAUCACUUGUUCACCAAGAAAUAAAUCUAAUUAAAAAGUAAAUUCCCAUGGUUCAGGGGUAUUUGACAAUGUUUAAGAAGGAAAUGUAUCUCCAUAGUUGUUGAGUCAACUGUUCUCCCUCCACUUCCUGGUUAGACUUAAAGCCUAACCAUUGGGCAAGAUGGGCAGGUUCAGGUUGUCUCUGGUGCAUACGCCAGACUAAGGUAUAUAAAUAAUGGUGAAUUAGCAUUCUUGUUGUUUCUGUUGGGUGGAUCACAAUGAGUAAAAUGUAGCAAGGUAAUGCAUCAAAUGCAAAGGGAAGUGGACGUGGAUGAAGGCUAUAAGAUGACACACCAUUGGCAGCACAAAGCAGUCCUGGAGAGUGAAAUUUUAAAUUUACCUUGGAUUCAAUCUUCUGCAUAAAUUCAUUUAAAAUUUCGAUUCAACUGUUCCAUUAAUUAGCAUUCAUUUACUAUCUUGCUGGCUCACUCCUUUUCCACAAAUCUUGUUUGCUUUCUCUACUACAGGAUUUAAGACAAUUAUAUCAAUUCUAAACCAAAAUAAUUGCAAUUACAAGCAGCAACCAAGUCAAAAAGUGUCCAAUUAAUAAGAAAUCCAACAAAAUGUUUUUGGUUGAUUGGGCUAUUCGAAAGAGCUGAUGCAUUUGGAAGAAAAAAAAAAGUAAUUAUGUGGCCACAACAAACAAAUAGUUGUAACAGGAUGGAUGUAAUUCAGCAUUGAUAAACUCAGUUCUAAUCAAGAACAGUGUAAAAAAAAUCCGCUUUACCAAGAACAACAUAUGUUACCUUGUUAAGCUAAUAGGUAACAAUCUUGAACUCCCCACCGACCCCACUAUGGACCAAGCACAUUUCACUGCAAACAUUAGAAUCAAUAAGUUGAGUUAGAAUCAAUAAGUUGAAUGAUGCUCACCUUCACCACAAAGGUAUGAACGAUACACCAGAUUCACUGCAAGAGAAGAUAAGCCAUGCUGAAAUACAUUCCCCCAGACACCUUGAUGUGCCAACCAGUUUGUCAUGAAGUUUUCUCAAGAAUGAUGCACCAGUUCGAUUUAUCAAAAAAUCGAUCAAUUACUACUGCAUUUUUCAUGCCAGUUACUAACCUUCCAAGUUCACCUUCACUGAAAACAUGGUAGUAUCUGUUGUACACUACAGCACCCUUUAUAUCAUCUUUUUUGGCCAGACCACUUGCAAGAGCACAAGCAGAUGCACCACUAACUUCUGCACGAUGAUAUGGCAAAUGCCAAGGGACAAAAUAUUCCUGUUGAUUUUUUUUAGUUCUCUCAUCUUCAGAAACCAGGAAUUCAUUUUCAGUUGAAGAAGCUAUAUGCAUAGUUUUCCUCAAAUCCUCAUCUGCAUUAUACCUGUUAUCUUUUACAUGCUCUUUAGAAUUGUUGUUUUCCUCUGUUUCUGGGAUGCUUUCUAAAGUGAUGCAAGAAGGGCUUCGAACCCGAGGACUACCCGGUCCUAUCCACUCUUCUACAUACUUUUCCGUAAGAGGAGUCCACUUAGCAACCAAUGAUCCAUCUUCCUGCUCUACAGCCCAAACAGUUAUUAGUACCAAACCACCCUUUUUCACAACUCGGACUAAUUCUUCAAUUGCCUUCUUCCUCCUAUUCUCUGUACUUAGGUGAUGUAACACAGCUAUGGAAAUUGCAGCAUCACCAAACCCAGUUCUGUAAGGAAGAUUAAUUGCAUCCCCAACCAGAACUUCAUGUCCUCUAUCUGCACAAAUUUUGAUAAGGGGUGCACUAAUAUCACAUCCUAUAUAAAAGCAAUCAGGAUUUAAUCCCAAAUACUUGCCAUUUCCACAUCCUGCAUCCAAUAUUAAAGACCCAGAAGGCAAGGAAUUCAAGAAGGUUGCAACUUUCGGCCAUUUGGCAUACCUGGUGGAACUAAAAUGGGGUGCAAUAGCAUCAUAAACACGAUGAACAUACUUCUUUUCAAUUUCAGGGGUGGACUGCACAGUUGAGGAAGAUGAACAUGUCUUUUGUUCAGCCACUGAAACAGAUUCUCCAUUAAAUGAAAGAGUACACAAGCCAGAAGAUUCUGUCACCUUCACUUUGACUUCUCUCAUAGUUUUGAAGAUUCCAGAAUGAAAGACACUACCACUCUCAAGAAUAGGUAGAACUACGGACUCCCAGUUUGUUCUACUGGAUCUAAUCGCCCUUGUCACAUUAAUCAUCAGCUUGAAGCAUACAUUCUAGCGAGUAAUGAUCCUGUGCUAGGCCAAAAAUUUAACAAGGAGGAUUCAAUAGAGGCGAAGCUUAGAGAACGAUUGUAACGGCACGUGAACAGCACUGACCAAAUCAACGAGAGAGAGAUAGAGAAAGAGUGAGAGAGAACCAUACUAGUUAUGAGGCCAACUACAGAGUCGAUCGCUGAUCGAGCGUGAGCGAAUCAGAGAGAAACAGAGCCGGUCGAGGGAGAGCGCGGGGAGGAGGAGGCACUAGGGAGCGGCUGUGACUGUUGCUGAAAGUGAGAAAGGAAUGAGAUAGGUUUGCUUCAACCCUAGGUGCAAAACGGCGCAGUUUGAUUAAAA
rnacentral:misc_RNA from 1 species